GCGGAUAUCGUAUAUCGGUAUUAUGGGUCCUUGCAAAGGACCAGAGACGGUUUCGACUCCCGUUAUCCGCU
rnacentral:tRNA from 1 species